UACGAAGGGGGCUAGCGUUGCUCGGAAUCACUGGCGUAAAGGGUGCGUAGGCGGGUUUUUAAGUCAGGGGUGAAAUCCUGGAGCUCAACUCCAGAACUGCCUUUGAUACUGAAGAUCUUGAGUUCGGGAGAGGUGAGUGGAACUGCGAGUGUAGAGGUGAAAUUCGUAGAUAUUCGCAAAGAACACCAGUGGCGAAGGCGGCUCACUGGCCCGGUACUGACGCUGAGGUGCGAAAAGCGUGGGGGAGCCAAAGCAGGAUUAAGAAACCCGUGG
rnacentral:rRNA from 1 species